CUAAGAUUGGCUUGGCCGCAAAGACUGAUGGGAGAACUUUGCGGUUUGAGAGACAUUUUGGAUUUAAAGGGGCUGGGCUAGCCGAAGGUUCUAGCUGUCGGUGUCCCUGAGCUUGAAUAAAGAUGUCCACUAUGGUGUAUCCACGGGAAGAGAAGCUCGAGAAGCUCUCUCAAGAGGAAAUUAUCUCGAACACCAAGUUAGUAAUCCAGGGUCUGGAGGCCCUGAAGAAUGAGCACAACUCCAUCCUCCACAGUCUCCUGGAGACAAUCAAGUGCCUGAAGAAGGACGAAGAGGCCAACCUGGUGCACGAGAAGUCUAACCUGUUGCGCAAGUCAGUGGAGAUGAUUGAGCUUGGGCUUGGUGAAGCACAGGUGAUGAUGGCCCUGUCCAACCAUCUGAAUGCGGUGGAGUCCGAGAAGCAGAAGCUGCGUGCGCAGGUGAGGAGGCUUUGCCAGGAAAACCAGUGGCUGCGAGACGAGCUGGCUAACACCCAACAGAAGCUGCAAAAGAGCGAGCAAAAUGUCGCGCAGCUUGAGGAAGAGAAGAAACAUCUGGAGUUCAUGAACCAGCUCAAGAAAUACGAUGAGGACGCCUCCCCCACUCAGGAGGAAAAGGACAGAGAGACACCAAAGGACUCCCUGGAUGAUCUCUUCCCCAAUGAUGAGGAGGAGCAUGGCCAAGGAAUGCAGCACCAACACAACAGUGCAGCGGUGGCUGCAGCCCAGCAGGGAGGCUAUGAGAUCCCGGCUCGCCUGAGAACCCUGCACAACCUGGUGAUCCAGUAUGCUUCUCAGGGCAGGUAUGAGGUAGCUGUGCCUCUCUGCAAGCAAGCUUUGGAGGACCUGGAGAAAACUUCUGGACAUGACCACCCUGAUGUGGCAACCAUGCUCAACAUCUUGGCCUUAGUUUAUAGGGAUCAGAAUAAGUACAAAGAAGCCGCCCAUCUUCUCAAUGAUGCUCUGUCCAUCCGGGAGAAGACUUUGGGGAAAGACCAUCCUGCUGUUGCAGCAACAUUGAACAACCUGGCUGUGCUGUAUGGAAAGAGGGGGAAAUACAAGGAGGCGGAGCCCCUGUGCAAGAGGGCUCUCGAGAUCCGAGAGAAGGUCCUGGGGAAAGACCAUCCAGAUGUGGCCAAACAGCUGAACAACCUGGCCCUGCUGUGUCAGAAUCAGGGCAAGUAUGAGGAGGUGGAGUACUACUACUGCCGGGCCUUGGAGAUCUACGAAUGUAGGCUGGGCCCGGAUGAUCCCAAUGUGGCCAAAACCAAGAACAACCUGGCGUCCUGCUUCCUUAAACAGGGGAAAUACAAGGAGGCUGAGAUUCUUUAUAAAGAGAUUCUGACUCGUGCUCAUGAGAAAGAAUUUGGAUCAGUUGAUGCUGAAAACAAGCCCAUCUGGAUGCAUGCUGAGGAAAGAGAGGAGAUGAGCAAGGGCAAGCACAGGGACAACACGCCGUAUGGGGAGUAUGGAGGCUGGUAUAAAGCCUGCAAAGUCAACAGCCCCACUGUAAACACCACACUGAGGAACCUGGGGGCCCUGUACCGCCGUCAGGGCAAGCUUGAAGCUGCAGAGACUCUGGAGGAGUGUGCCGUGAGAUCCCGCAAACAGGGCAUUGACCCCAUCCACCAGACACGCGUGGUGGAGAUUCUGAAGGAUGCAGAGAGCGACAAGCGAAGGAGCAGGGAGAGCCUGACCAGCGUCAAGUAUGAAAGCGGCUCUGAAACUGGCGAGGAAGUGAGUAUGGGCGUGGAGUGGAAUGGGGCCUAAGCCAUCAAGAUUAUUCCUCCAUCCCUCUCUCCUUCCCCCAACCAAUAGCUAAAGGAUGUGUGUUGUCGUCCUCCCCACCCCCAGCUCCUCUCCAGUGUCCCCCUCCCCAGCAGAGAAAGCAUCUCUCCCCUCCCUCGGCUGUCACACACCAGUCCGCUGUCCAGCUGAGACCUGCCGGGACGUUUGGUCUUCUCAUCUCCGCUUCUCCUGGUUUCCUGUCUUUUGGCGCCCUCUACCCUUUCCUUUCACUAACCCAAUGUUUCACUCACUUGUGUGUGUGUGUGUGUGUGUGUGUGGAAUCUCUCCCUUCCUUCCCCUCGUUUUCCUCUUCCCAUCAACUUGCUUUGCCAUGUUACACAUAUGCACAGUAUAUUUAUUUUAACAAAAUAGAAAUGGCGGCAUAGUAGAAAACAUGGUAUUGGACAGUCAACAGAGUUCCUAUUAGUGCUUCAAUUCUGAAAUCAGCAUCUGCAUCACGCGUUGCCCGCUUUUAUUUGACUGAAGCCGAUCGAUCUUAUGUUUUGCUACAUUGUAUUUUUUUUUUUUUUUUAAAUGCAGGUAUUUUGUGUUUAAUAUUGUGAACUAAUCUCAAGAGAUUGCCUGAAUGGUUACGGUACUGUAUAGUUUCACAUGCUUAUAUCAAAAUAUGCCAUGUUGGAAGCUGAGAGCUGGCCAGAACAAGAAGCGAGUCUUUUGUUUUGUCGAUUUAAAAAAAAAACAAAACAAAACAAAACAAAAAACGUAUUUCAUUUUGUAUGAUUUGUUUACAUUUUUUUUUUACUUUUUUUUUUUUUUUACAUAGAUGCCAAUACACAGACUUGCCAAUAUCCGACUCUGACAGCAAACUGUCAGAUGACAAAAUCCUUUUGUUGCCAUGGUAAUUCAUUCUCUGGCUGCUCUUCUUGUCUUCGGUGUCCUUGCUCUUUGCACUGUUUUCUGUGUGAUACAUGAACACACAAGGCUGCGAAUGAAAGGAAAAGCUGCAUGAUGUUGUAUACGGUGACAGCAGAGACCAACAGGAGCAUCACACACGGAUGAGAAAUGCAAAAUAUGAUCAGAAAUCAGUGUCGCAAACACUAUUGCCUUUAUUAUUGUUAUUAUUUAAGCGGAAGCCGUGAUUCACAUUAGCGUUGGAAUAGACUCGUGCGUCCACAUUGUCGACAUCAGUUUUAGUGAAACGUGGUUCUGUUCCACCAAAAGUAAAAGUGUUUCUUCAUCUAUAACAUCCACUACUGUUACUUCACAUGUUUCACUAACUGUGCAUUUUUAACAUCUUGGAAGUGUCGUCGUUGGCUGUACUCACUCUAGUAGUGCAUUCACUCUCCAGCUUUUCACUGUUCUACUUGCAUUGAUUCUUCAUUCCUUUCAAUGAGUGCAUCUGUACGUCUACUUCAAUUCUCAGCUAUACAAUUGACCAUGUGCAUCACAUAAUUAGAACAAUAAUGUUGUGUUAGUGGAAUGCUUAUUUAUUGAACUGUCUACUCUUGACUAUAUAUAUAGAUAUAUAUAAACAGUGUGACUUCAUUUCUCCAAUGUGGAAGAACAUACAUGCUUUUAGGUCUAGUAGCACCAUCUUAGUAGUAGAACUGCGUCAUGUUUACCAGUCUGCAUUGUGAAGAUGACUGCAUCAACACUUGUUGGUAUCUCAAAUAAAGUUUUUUUUUUUCAUUUGUGAAAAUGGUCUUUUCCCGUCACAUUUUUAUAUAUAUAAGUUUGGCUGCACACUUGGAAAAACUCUGUUUGAGGUGUUUUUUUAUGUUAAUGCAAGUUGCUUAUUAAGAGGAUAACAAGAAAAAAGAAGGUCAUUCACUUUGGUUACAAAAAGUCUUUUUACAUACUUCUUAUUCCCAUUCAUUUAUUUUUGUAUUACCUGAAAAACAUUUGCGCUCUCACCUUUUAUCUGUAUAUGACGUACAUGCACCAUAUCCUUCUCCAGGAAAAAGCUGAUACUUUGUUAUAAAAGUCUGAUAACAUUCUGGUGAGCUUGGGUAUACAGUCGUCCCUCAUUUAUCAUGGUUAAUUGAUUGCAGGCCCGACCUUGAUAAGUGAAUUUCAGAAUAUUUUCAGAGUUAGCGCAUAGAUUACCACUAUUAUAGCCCUGUAUACAUAAAAUAACACCCUUGAAGUCACCUUUACACUCCUCUUAUUCAUUGUUUACACCACAUUGCUCAAUUGUAAUGCGCAGGCUACGGGAUCAUUGCAGGGACACAAGGGAACGCAACCGAGCUAACUAGAUAGCCUCAAAUUUAUUAUUCUAAACUUAAGAAUGGGUUUCAAAUGGAGUAGGGAAGGACAAAGUAAGAAGCCAAAAACUUACCACUUCCACACGGAAUGGGAGGAGAACCUUUUUUGCACUAUGUCGGACAUGCCAUGGCUGACUCCAUGCAGUGUUAAGGUAAUCUAAUCUAAUGCCAUGUCUCACCAAUGUAACAUUACUGACGUCUAGUCACCAGAAUACUCCAUAUAACUCGUCUUUAAUGUUUUUUUUUUUACUAAUAACAGUCCAUAGUCAACCAUGAACAGCGGUCAUUAAUUCAUUUUUGAAAAAAGGAGAUAGUGAGGGAGCAAUGUAGGAACUGCAGUGUAGCAAGGGACGACUGCAUGUGAUCCUCAGUCUUGGCAGGCAAACAUUCAUUCAUUCAUUCAUUCAUUCAUUCAUUCAGUCAGUCAGUCAGUCAGUCAGUCAGUCAGUCAGCAGAGCAUAAACAAUAUCUUGCAUUUGACUUGCUGCUCUCCAGCUGUCAAAAAAAAAAGAGCUGGCUUUUCCUCUCUAUGGAAGGGCGGCAGUGACAAACACCAUCCAGCUCACGCACACCCCCACCCCGCAGGAUGAAGAGUACUGCAAGCACCUCCCUGACAUAAGUAAUCAUCCCACAUGUCUUUUAUUCCAGUCCGAUGUUGGCAUCCCUCCAUUUGAAAGGGUUGAAUUUCAGCUUCACUUUUUUUGUCCACUCACAAUGGCUGUGGUUUAAGUCUGCAUAUUAGUUGAAUACCAAAUACAAGGGGAAAGUUUAACAAUCAUGAUAAAGCAAUAUCCGAAGUACAAAAAUACAACCAACAAUAAAGCCUUUUUGAGGCUGCGCCGUAUGGGGAUUGGAACACCAAUACAAAUGAAAUCUUCAUUAUUAAACACUUUUAAUGCACAAAAUAAUCAUCAAACUUACUCAUUUGUUCACAUGAUGCACACAGAGUAAUGAACAACUUCAUGCACUGCCUCCUUUCUGCUCCGUUUUCCUUACCCUACAUCAUCAGUAGGGUAACACUAACCUGUCUCACGACGGUUAGCGCAAGCGAGGGGAAACAUCCAUAAAAAUAAAGUCGGUAUGGUCACAGCAAACCAUUUUUAUUCACCAUUGCAAUUGGUGUACCCCAUUUUGGGAACAUAGGGUGUGUAAUAAAUGCUGACAAACAGGAACUGGCACACGCCAUGAUCCAGCGCUCACUGAGUGCACUCAGACGGCCGGCUGACCUGGCGUACGAAGCCGAGAAGAGACGCUUCUUAUGUUUGUGGCCUGUCUAAGAUCAGGGAAAUCGGCAAAUUCAGUGAUUUUUACUUGCGAAAAGCAUUAUUGGAAUCAUACAGAAAAUACAUGAUACAGUUCAAUGGACAAAUAUGAAUAUUUUUUAUUUUUCUUCAUGACAUCAUCUGCCGGCAGAGAGGUGAAAGCUUUAUUUAUGCACUUUAUUUCACUAUUGAAUCAUUCCUCUGAAUUGUGUGUAUAAAAUGCUUAGGAGCAAAAGAAAACACUGCUAUCCCUCAUGUUGAGUCGCCCCUGGUUUUCCAGCUAUUUGUUCAAUUUUAAAUGCGAUACCAAUAACUGGAACUUCAGUGCUUCACUUUUAAUGCUUGUAAUGUACUCACACCUUUCCCUGCUGGUGAUGCGGCAGUAUGGCACAAUGAUGCUUGACGACUUGUUCCAUAAUGUAAAAAUAAUCUGAGUCUGAACAGAACAUUAACUCCCGAAGAUGCAGAACAAUUUAAGUGCCUCUGACCUGCAGACUUUAAAACAAGUCAUAGUAACUCGUCUGUGCCAAAGUGUUUCUCCUGUAUCAUGUAAUGCCUGCAUGUGAAUCUGUGAGUCUGUUGCCUGAUGUGUUGAGCAGGUGUCUUGAUUAGUGUGUUUCUGCAGGACGGCAGCGGGGCCCUCCAGCGUAGCGGCUCUCUGGGCAAACUCAGAGAUGUCCUGCGUCGUAGCAGCGAACUGCUGGUCAAGAAACUGCAGGGCAACGGACCUCCAGAGCCGCGUAGCACCAACAUGAAGCGAGCCGCAUCGCUGAACUACCUGAA